rnacentral:rRNA from 1 species
CCUACGGGUGGCUGCAGUGGGGAAUAUUGGACAAUGGGCGAAAGCCUGUUCCAGCCAUGCCGCGUGUGUGAAGAAGGCCUUCGGGUUGUAAAGCACUUUCAGUGGGGAAGAAAGCCUUGGGGCUAAUACCCUCGAGGAAGGACAUCACCCACAGAAGAAGCACCGGCUAACUCCGUGCCAGCAGCCGCGGUAAUACGGAGGGUGCGAGCGUUAAUCGGAAUUACUGGGCGUAAAGCGCGCGUAGGCGGUCUGAUAAGCCGGUUGUGAAAGCCCCGGGCUCAACCUGGGAACGGCAUCCGGAACUGUCAGGCUAGAGUGCAGGAGAGGAAGGUAGAAUUCCCGGUGUAGCGGUGAAAUGCGUAGAGAUCGGGAGGAAUACCAGUGGCGAAGGCGGCCUUCUGGACUGACACUGACGCUGAGGUGCGAAAGCGUGGGUAGCAAACAGGAUUAGAUACCCCAGUAGUC